UCCUUGGGGGGGGUCUUAUUUAUUGUUUGGUUAAAUUGGUUUCCUUUUGCAUCAUGAUUAUCGGAUUUUUUUCAUUAUUUGGUAUUUCUGAAAUUGUGUGAUUUUCUGGUUUGUUGUUUUGUUCAUAUGCUUUGUGUGUUAUAAAUGUUUAAACUUAUUGGAGGUUGUGAUAAAUGAGUCAUACAUAAUUAUAUCCGAUUAAGGUGUUUUAAUUUUAAAUUACGUUAUUAGUGUGAGAUUGAUAUCGUGUUAGGAUUUUAGUUAUUUUAGUUUUGUUUUAAUAGGUUGGGUAGUUAUCUUUUAAUGGAAUUGUGUUAUAACGUUUUAAUUACUUUUUUAAAUCUAGUUUUUGUUUCUCCUUGUUAUUAAUUUGUUGAGAUUUUAUUAUUGGUGAAUAAGUAAGUUUAAUUGUUGUUGUUUUUCUUGGCUUUACUCUGACUGUUUAUCAAAAACAUUUCUUCCCUGUAUGGGAGGUAGGCCCUGCUCCAUGCUUUAGGGUAAAUAGCCGCAUUAGCCUGAGUGUGCUAAGGUAGCAUAAUUAGUAGCCCUUUAAUUGUGGGAUUGUUUGAAAGGGUUAACGAGGGUAUUUAGCUAAAUGGUAACAUUAUCUGAAAUUUAUUUGUUAGUACAGAUUCUAACAGAAUUAUUUGGGACGGAAAGACCCUAGGAGGUUUAUAUUAUUUGUUUAUUUGAUUGGGGCAAUAAUAAAUUUUUUAUUUAUGUUUUGAUCCUUUUGGAAUUCGAAUUAAGUUACCCUAGGGAUAACAGAGUAAGAAACAAGAAGAGUUCUUAUCGUUUUGUUUAAUUGCUACCUCGAUGUUGACUUAAGAGAGAGUUCUAGGUUUGUAGAUGAUUUAGUAACAGGUCUGUUCGACCUUUAAAGUCUUUCAUGAGUUGAGUUAAGACCGAUGUAAAUCAGGUUGGUUCCUAUCUAAAUUUGAAAUAAUUUUGUACGAAAGGACUAGUUAGUUUUAUUUAU
rnacentral:rRNA from 1 species